UACAGAGGGUGCGAGCGUUGUUCGGAAUCAUUGGGCGUAAAGCGCUUGUAGGCGGCCUGUCGAGUCGCGUGUGAAAUCCCUUGGCUUAACCAAGGAAGUGCGCGCGAAACUGGCGGGCUUGAGUGCCGGAGAGGGUCGCGGAAUUCCCGGUGUAGAGGUGAAAUUCGUAGAUAUCGGGAGGAACACCAGUGGCGAAGGCGGCGACCUGGACGGACACUGACGCUGAGACGCGAAAGCGUGGGAGCAAACAGGAUUGAGAACC
rnacentral:rRNA from 1 species